rnacentral:rRNA from 3 species
CGACCUGAGCUCAGGCAAGGCUACCCGCUGAACUUAAGCAUAUCAAUAAGCGGAGGAAAAGAAACUAACCAGG